CCGACGCCCCGGGGCCGGGGCUGGCGCGGGCGAGAGGCUGAGCCCGGGCCUCGGCUCGACCCCCGCAUGAGGACGCGAGCGACCUAGAGCGAGGUGGAAUCUCCCAGGGGAGAAGCCGUGGGGUUUUGGGGUUUCGGGGGUCCGUGUCUUCGGCGAAGAAGUCGACAUGGCGAGCGACUCCCCGGCUCGCAGCCUGGAUGAAAUCGAUCUCUCGGCUCUGAGGGACCCUGCAGGGAUCUUUGAAUUGGUGGAACUUGUUGGAAAUGGAACUUAUGGACAAGUUUAUAAGGGCCGUCAUGUCAAAACAGGCCAGCUUGCAGCCAUUAAGGUUAUGGAUGUCACAGGGGAUGAAGAGGAAGAAAUCAAGCAAGAAAUUAACAUGCUGAAGAAAUAUUCUCACCACAGGAAUAUUGCUACAUACUAUGGUGCUUUUAUUAAAAAGAACCCACCUGGCAUGGAUGACCAACUUUGGUUGGUGAUGGAGUUUUGUGGCGCUGGUUCUGUCACUGACCUCAUCAAGAACACAAAAGGGAAUACUUUGAAGGAGGAGUGGAUUGCAUAUAUCUGCAGGGAGAUCUUAAGGGGGCUGAGUCACCUGCACCAGCAUAAAGUGAUUCAUCGAGAUAUUAAAGGGCAAAAUGUCUUGCUGACGGAAAAUGCUGAAGUCAAGCUGGUUGACUUUGGUGUCAGUGCUCAGCUUGAUAGAACAGUGGGUAGGAGAAAUACUUUCAUUGGGACUCCCUACUGGAUGGCCCCAGAAGUGAUUGCCUGUGAUGAAAACCCAGACGCCACAUACGAUUUCAAGAGUGACCUGUGGUCUUUGGGAAUCACCGCCAUUGAGAUGGCAGAAGGUGCUCCCCCUCUCUGUGACAUGCAUCCCAUGCGAGCCCUCUUCCUAAUCCCCCGAAACCCAGCACCUCGGCUGAAGUCAAAGAAGUGGUCAAAAAAAUUCCAGUCAUUUAUUGAGAGCUGCUUAGUCAAGAAUCAUAGUCAGAGGCCAGCUACAGAACAGCUGAUGAAGCACCCAUUUAUCCGAGACCAACCUAAUGAGCGACAGGUCCGUAUCCAGCUCAAGGAUCACAUUGACAGGACAAAGAAGAAGCGAGGAGAAAAAGAUGAGACAGAAUAUGAGUACAGUGGCAGUGAGGAAGAAGAGGAAGAGAAUGACUCUGGAGAGCCCAGCUCCAUCCUAAACCUGCCUGGGGAGUCAACACUGCGCCGGGACUUCCUGAGGCUCCAGCUGGCCAACAAGGAGCGCUCAGAGGCCCUGCGAAGGCAGCAGUUGGAGCAGCAGCAGCGGGAGAAUGAAGAGCACAAAAGGCAGCUGCUGGCUGAGCGGCAAAAACGCAUAGAGGAGCAAAAAGAACAGCGCCGGAGGCUAGAGGAGCAACAAAGGCGAGAGAAGGAGCUGCGGAAGCAACAAGAGCGGGAGCAACGCAGGCACUAUGAGGAACAGAUGCGACGGGAAGAGGAGAGGAGACGAGCGGAGCAUGAACAGGAGUACAUCAGGCGCCAGUUAGAGGAAGAGCAAAGACAGUUAGAGAUCUUGCAACAGCAGCUACUGCAUGAACAAGCUCUACUUCUGGAAUAUAAGCGCAAACAGUUGGAAGAACAAAGACAAGCAGAAAGACUGCAGAGACAGCUAAAGCAAGAGCGAGACUAUUUGGUUUCCCUUCAGCAUCAGCGACAAGAGCAGAGGCCUGUGGAGAAGAAACCACUGUACCAUUACAAAGAAGGGAUGAGCCCUAGUGAGAAACCAGCAUGGGCUAAGGAGGUAGAAGAACGGUCAAGACUCAACCGACAGAGUUCACCUGCCAUGCCUCACAAAGUUGCCAACAGGAUAUCUGAUCCUAACCUGCCCCCAAGGUCAGAGUCCUUCAGUAUCAGUGGGGUUCAGCCUGCUCGGACACCCCCUAUGCUCAGACCAGUUGAUCCCCAGAUUCCACAUCUGGUGGCUGUCAAAUCCCAGGGACCUGCCUUGACCGCCUCACAGUCAGUGCAUGAGCAGCCCACCAAGGGCCUUUCAGGCUUUCAGGAGGCUCUGAACGUGACCUCUCAUCGUGUUGAGAUGCCACGGCAGAACUCGGAUCCCACCUCUGAAAACCCUCCUCUUCCUACUCGUAUUGAAAAGUUUGACCGAAGUUCUUGGUUACGACAGGAAGAAGACAUUCCACCAAAGGUGCCUCAAAGAACAACUUCUAUUUCCCCAGCAUUAGCCAGAAAGAAUUCUCCUGGAAAUGGUAAUGCUCUAGGACCCAGACUAGGAUCUCAACCCAUCAGAGCAAGCAACCCUGACCUGCGGAGAACUGAGCCCAUCUUGGAGAGCCCCCUACAACGGACAAGCAGUGGCAGUUCCUCCAGCUCCAGCACCCCUAGCUCCCAGCCUAGCUCCCAAGGAGGCUCUCAACCAGGAUCACAAGCAGGGUCCAGUGAACGGACCAGAGUUCGAGCAAACAGUAAGUCAGAAGGAUCACCUGUACUUCCACAUGAGCCUUCCAAGGUGAAACCAGAAGAAACCAGGGACAUAACCAGACCGAGUCGACCAGCUAGCUAUAAAAAAGCUAUAGAUGAGGACCUGACGGCAUUAGCCAAAGAAUUAAGAGAACUCCGAAUUGAAGAAACAAAUCGUCCAUUGAAGAAGGUGACGGAUUACUCCUCCUCCAGUGAGGAGUCAGAAAGUAGUGAUGAAGAGGAGGAAGAUGGAGAAAGCGAGACCCAUGAUGGGACAGUGGCUGUCAGUGACAUACCCAGACUCAUACCAACAGGAACUCCGGGGAGCACAGAGCAGUACAAUGUGGGUGUGGUGGGCACCCAUGGGCUGGAGACCUCCCAUGCUGACACUUUCAGCAGCAGUAUUUCAAGAGAAGGAACCCUGAUGAUACGAGAGACUUCCGGAGAGAAGAAGCGAUCUGGCCACAGUGACAGCAAUGGCUUUGCUGGCCACAUCAACCUCCCAGACCUGGUGCAACAAAGCCAUUCGCCAGCUGGGACCCCCACUGAGGGCCUGGGACGUGUCUCCACCCAUUCCCAGGAGAUGGACUCUGGAACUGAAUAUGGCAUUGGAAGCAGUACUAAAGCCUCCUUCACCCCCUUUGUGGACCCCAGAGUGUAUCAGACAUCUCCCACAGAUGAAGAUGAAGAGGAUGAAGAAUCAUCAGCUACAGCUCUCUUUACUAGUGAACUUCUUAGGCAAGAACAAGCCAAACUCAAUGAAGCGAGGAAAAUUUCUGUGGUCAAUGUGAACCCAACCAACAUUCGGCCCCAUAGUGACACACCAGAAAUCAGAAAAUACAAGAAACGAUUCAAUUCAGAAAUACUUUGCGCAGCUCUUUGGGGUGUAAAUCUUCUGGUGGGAACUGAAAAUGGCCUGAUGCUUUUGGACAGAAGUGGGCAAGGCAAAGUCUAUAAUCUCAUCAAUCGGAGGCGGUUUCAGCAGAUGGAUGUUCUGGAGGGAUUAAAUGUCCUUGUGACAAUAUCAGGGAAGAAAAAUAAACUACGAGUUUACUAUCUUUCUUGGUUAAGAAACAGAAUACUACACAAUGAUCCAGAAGUUGAAAAAAAACAAGGGUGGAUAACAGUUGGAGACUUGGAAGGCUGUAUACAUUACAAAGUUGUUAAAUAUGAAAGGAUCAAAUUUUUGGUGAUUGCCUUAAAGAACGCUGUGGAGAUAUAUGCAUGGGCUCCGAAACCUUAUCAUAAAUUUAUGGCAUUUAAGUCUUUUGCAGAUCUCCAGCACAAGCCCCUGCUUGUUGAUCUAACUGUAGAAGAAGGCCAGAGAUUAAAGGUUAUAUUUGGCUCACACACUGGUUUCCAUGUAAUUGAUGUUGAUUCAGGAAACUCUUAUGAUAUCUACAUACCAUCUCAUAUUCAGGGCAAUAUCACUCCUCAUGCCAUUGUCAUCUUGCCUAAAACAGAUGGAAUGGAAAUGCUUGUUUGCUAUGAGGAUGAGGGGGUGUAUGUGAACACCUAUGGCCGAAUAACUAAGGAUGUGGUGCUCCAAUGGGGAGAAAUGCCCACGUCUGUGGUUUUGGAAAUUCCUUUUGACAGCCUACAUUCAUUCCAAUCAGAUAAUGGGCUGGGGCGAGAAAGCUAUUGAGAUCCGGUCAGUGGAAACAGGACAUUUGGAUGGAGUAUUUAUGCAUAAGCGAGCUCAAAGGUUAAAGUUUCUUUGUGAAAGAAAUGAUAAGGUAUUUUUUGCAUCCGUGCGAUCUGGAGGAAGUAGCCAAGUGUUUUUCAUGACCCUCAACAGAAAUUCCAUGAUGAACUGGUAACAGAAGAGCACUUGGCACUUAUCUUCAUGGCGUUAUUUCUAAUUUAAAAGAACAUAACUCAUGUGGACUUAUGCCAGUCUAGAGGCAGAAUCAGAAGGCUUGGUUGAACAUAGAGCUUUCCCCUUUUCCUCUCCCUCCACCCGUCCCAAAACAGUCCAUCUUUCAAUGUUGCAACCUGGUUGAGAAGGAGAGAAAAAGGUGGCAGAAAUUUCCAGGAGAUCCCCCAAGAAUGCUGCGUUUUCUGUGGACAAUGAUGGACCAUGUGCCCUUCGGAGUUAGGGAUAGAAACAAAUAUUGUGUGCUCUUAUGCUUAAGCUGUGUUCCAGUGGAGUUUGAGUUCGGGGUUGUUUUUUUUGUUUGUUUGUUUGGUUUUUUUUUUUUUACCUUUUUUCUUUACCCCUUACUUUUUAAGAAUGGGGAGAGUAUGCAUAGUGAGCAAAAGAGUCUUUUUAAUUCUGUCUGCCUGCUAGCUUUAAGUAUAUGAUAUGUUAUAAAAUUUCAAAUUUCAAAUGGUGAGAGACAGCACAAUAAAUGUACCUUAUCUCCUUACACUGAAGGCCAUAACUGCAUAGUGGGAUAAUUUUAGAACUCUUUUGCCUUCACCAACCCAAAAGGUUGCUUUUUUGAUAGCGACUGGCUAAUGAAUUUUUAAAAGAGAAGAAAAAUACUAGUUUUCCCCUCUUUGGGGAAAUAGAUUUUAAAUGGCUAAACUACUAGCCUUAGCCUAAAAAAUUCAACUACCAUUUUUUUGAGGCUGGCAGGCCCUCUUUUUAUAUGGCCCUGUUCAGAAAGGAGAGUGUUGAAUGGGAGAGUAGCACUAUUGAGUUGUCGGCUCUUGCAAUCGAGGGAAUCUGUAACACAAAGUUUCAUCAGCUCUAUUGCAACCAGUCAGAGCCCCCAAGAGAUGAUAGAUGGGGUUAGACAGCAAGAGCUUCUGGGGAACAAGCUAAGUUUCAGAGAGAGAUAUUCUUUUUUAAAUGCACAAAGCCUCCCAGCUAAUUGGUCUCUCAGUUUGAACUUGAGUUGGACUGAGACCAUUGAAUUCUUUCUGGGAACUAGGCAAUGGAUGACAUGCAGGCUCUGGUCAUACCCAGAUUACUCCUGAGGGUACUACUUUUUCAAGAUGAAAACUGUGACUGAAAAAAAUAAUAACAAUAAAUGUUUCUGAGCUGCCUGUGUUCUCUCUGGAUUGAUGAGAGAAGGGACUAGACUACUGAGCCUGCCUGAGACACUGCAGAUACCAUUGGUUCCAGUUUUAGAGAAUGCAAAAGCAAGGCUUUGGCCUAAAUUCUGAGACCCUAAUCAUUUAACCUUCUAAAUGACCCGACAUACAGUAAACAACAUUUGUGCAGAAAUAUGUAUGUAUUUAGUUCAGAUUGAUUCGUGUCCUUAUAAACUCUUACUCGGAUGAUUUGAACUCUUCUGUGACUGUCUAGGAUUUUUUUCCCAAAGCUACAAGCAUGGCCGCCUGUGGUAUCAAGGUGUUGCAAAAUCAAAAAUACAAAAAAAAAAAAAAAAAACCCACAAAAAAAACACAAAAACAAACAAACAACCCAAUCUGUGUUGCGCUUCCUGUUUUAACCUACCUCGUUUUGUUUGUUUUUGUUUCAUUGUUCUCUUCAGGAGACAUAUAGAGAGCUCAAUUGGCAAUCUCAGGUGUAUCUAAUAUUCUUUGAAAAUAAAACAGUAGUUGACCAAAUUGUUCUUUAAACAUUGGGAGCAAAUGUUUCCAGUAACCAUAAAAAAAAAAUGUGGCUCAUUUCUGAAGAAUAUAUUUACUGUAGAUUUUUUUCAAAUCUAUGAUUUUAUCUAAAUACACGUGCAGCUGAUGUACUAUUAAUGAGAACAAAAUACACCUUGGGAAAAUAGAGCAUUCCAUUCUGAUGGUUUGGGUAAGGGGGGAGAAGGAAUACUAUUCUGGGUAGCGAAUUGGAUGACGAUAGCCCUCUUAUGAAGGUGGUUGUCAUCUGCAUUUAUUUUUUUGUAGGCAACACACAGUAAUGGAACUGAAGAUUCCCUUCAGGCAAUCUAAGAUGUUCUUGUGGUCCCUUUAGCUCUCAAAAGCAAUGAAACCCUCCUGUUCUCAUUUUUAUUGCUGCAGAACCGCUGCUGCUGUAAAAUACAAUCUUCACAAAUUCCUUGCAAAAAAUUUAGCAAUAACUUUUUGGAAUGAAUUUAGCAACUACUGUAAUUGGAUGCUGAUGUGGACUAAAUAUAUUGUUGUGGGUCUCAUCCCCAAAUGUGAUUGCCACCAGCUCUUUAUAUUGCUGCUGUGGUAUUUUAAACCAGAAGCUUCUUUAAAUUAUGUUGCGAACUGAUCUUUGUUUUUAUGUUUUGUUUUGUUUUCAUUUCUAAGUGAUGUUUGAAACACACAGCUUUAAAUGAUUUUUUUUAUUGUGGGAUUUUGGGUACAGUUAAGAAAUAAAAGGGAAUCAUUGUGUUUAAAAAUAA